rnacentral:rRNA from 1 species
AGAGUUUGAUCCUGGCUCAGGAUGAACGCUAGCUACAGGCUUAACACAUGCAAGUCGAGGGGCAUCAGUUUGGUUUGCUUGCAAACCAAAGCUGGCGACCGGCGCACGGGUGAGUAACACGUAUCCAACCUGCCUCAUACUCGGGGAUAGCCUUUCGAAAGAAAGAUUAAUAUCCGAUAGCAUAUAUUUCCCGCAUGGGUUUUAUAUUAAAGAAAUUCGGUAUGAGAUGGGGAUGCGUUCCAUUAGUUUGUUGGCGGGGUAACGGCCACCAAGACUACGAUGGAUAGGGGUUCUGAGAGGAAGGUCCCCCACAUUGGAACUGAGACACGUCGAACUACCUACGGAGGCGA